UCAUUCUAGACUCACACCUCUGGGUCUCCAGACACUUGGAGGGAUCACUCUCUACUCUUGAGAACGUUCCAACUUGCCUUGACACUUUAAGAAACACUUCUCAAUCUAAUUUGGUAGAAAAAUGAUUCUGUUCUUGGAGAGAAAUUGUGUGGAGUAUCACACUUCAGUUUAUACUAAGUAAGAUGCACAGGGGCGUUCCAAGCUAAAGAUGAUCUGAAGGUUUGAAAAAUACUGCAAACCAAGCUCAAACAAGCAAGAAGAAAAACACAUAAAUACUUUUGAGAGACUUAACAAUGGAAAACAUGGUCCUGCCCCAAUUUUCCACAUUCCUCCAGUACUGCUGGCAUGAACUGGGGCCAGGACUGGUUAUGGAUGACACCUGCCUUUCACUGGUCACUCAGCAUCUCAGCUGUGGGGCCUGCCAUCCCCACAGUCCAUAUGACAAGGGACCAAACCACCCUGAUCUUACUUUUGCCGAUUCCAUGGUUACUCCAUGAUAGAGUUUAAAGGAGGGUCUAAGUGGAACAAAGUCAGGAAUGGACUAGGUAAGGUGGCGCUGGGUGGGGGUGCUAAGGUGGUUGAUUAAAAAGAAGGCUGUAAAAGCCAAGCUGGAAAAUGACGAAAUGACAAAAGCAGGAAAAA
rnacentral:lncRNA from 1 species